GAUGAACGCUGGCGGCGUGCCUAAUACAUGCAAGUCGAGCGAACGGACGAGAAGCUUGCUUCUCUGAUGUUAGCGGCGGACGGGUGAGUAACACGUGGAUAACCUACCUAUAAGACUGGGAUAACUUCGGGAAACCGGAGCUAAUACCGGAUAAUAUUUUGAACCGCAUGGUUCAAAAGUGAAAGACGGUCUUGCUGUCACUUAUAGAUGGAUCCGCGCUGCAUUAGCUAGUUGGUAAGGUAACGGCUUACCAAGGCAACGAUGCAUAGCCGACCUGAGAGGGUGAUCGGCCACACUGGAACUGAGACACGGUCCAGACUCCUACGGGAGGCAGCAGUAGGGAAUCUUCCGCAAUGGGCGAAAGCCUGACGGAGCAACGCCGCGUGAGUGAUGAAGGUCUUCGGAUCGUAAAACUCUGUUAUUAGGGAAGAACAUAUGUGUAAGUAACUGUGCACAUCUUGACGGUACCUAAUCAGAAAGCCACGGCUAACUACGUGCCAGCAGCCGCGGUAAUACGUAGGUGGCAAGCGUUAUCCGGAAUUAUUGGGCGUAAAGCGCGCGUAGGCGGUUUUUUAAGUCUGAUGUGAAAGCCCACGGCUCAACCGUGGAGGGUCAUUGGAAACUGGAAAACUUGAGUGCAGAAGAGGAAAGUGGAAUUCCAUGUGUAGCGGUGAAAUGCUCAGAGAUAUGGAGGAGCACCAGUGGCGAAGGCGACUUUCUGGUCUGUAACUGACGCUGAUGUGCGAAAGCGUGGGGAUCAAACAGGAUUAGAUACCCUGGUAGUCCACGCCGUAAACGAUGAGUGCUAAGUGUUAGGGGGUUUCCGCCCCUUAGUGCUGCAACUAACGCAUUAAGCACUCCGCCUGGGGAGUACGACCGCAAGGUUGAAACUCAAAGGAAUUGACGGGGACCCGCACAAGCGGUGGAGCAUGUGGUUUAAUUCGAAGCAACGCGAAGAACCUUACCAAAUCUUGACAUCCUUUGACAACUCUAGAGAUAGAGCCUUCCCCUUCGGGGGACAAAGUGACAGGUGGUGCAUGGUUGUCGUCAGCUCGUGUCGUGAGAUGUUGGGUUAAGUCCCGCAACGAGCGCAACCCUUAAGCUUAGUUGCCAUCAUUAAGUUGGGCACUCUAAGUUGACUGCCGGUGACAAACCGGAGGAAGGUGGGGAUGACGUCAAAUCAUCAUGCCCCUUAUGAUUUGGGCUACACACGUGCUACAAUGGACAAUACAAAGGGCAGCGAAACCGCGAGGUCAAGCAAAUCCCAUAAAGUUGUUCUCAGUUCGGAUUGUAGUCUGCAACUCGACUACAUGAAGCUGGAAUCGCUAGUAAUCGUAGAUCAGCAUGCUACGGUGAAUACGUUCCCGGGUCU
rnacentral:rRNA from 1 species